UGUGGUGGGCAAGGAUAAAGAUGUAAAGGGGCAAAGCCGGAACAAGCCGCUUUUCGAGGCGUAGGCUGCAUCUGUUUUAAAGAGACAGGAUACGAUUCGAAGCUGUGAGAGCUAUGCUAAGUACCACUUUGGAUUUGGAAGCUAAGCUGUUUUCAUACCUCUGCAAUCGACAUUUAAAAGUUUUUCGGUUCGUUUGGAAGGGGAUUAUGUUUUGAUUAAACUAUGUGAAAAAACAACCAUCCGCUACUAACAGGCAAGCCAUUUGCGACACAUAUAUUAUGAAGUUGUUGGGCUCUCUUUGGGAAAGAGUGAAUGUAAAUGACAAGUACGGAAUUGCAAGGGUUAACAGUAUCUAGGUUUUUUCUUAGGCUCAAUAUUCGUCGCAGAUACUGUUGGAUUGUCCAAAACACAGGCCUAUAUGCUUUACAAUUUGAGGUAACAUAGGUCGCCUGUAUUUACCACACGUUGUCAGACCCCAGCUCUCAGCAACAUGCAACAGCAGUGCCACUUUUUUCCUCCAUCUUAAACCUAGAACUGUAAUAGGAAGGCUAGUCACUGCAGUGCAAUUAUGUGAUAAUGCAAUAAAGUCAACUUUGGGUGCUUGCAUUUGCAAUGUGUUGAUCCCUUGCAUUACAUUGUGCUCUGCAGUUGUGCUGAAUUUGGCACAAGUGAAGUCCAGAGGAUGAAGCCUGCUUGCUGCUCUCCGCUCCCCUGGCAUUUCCUCAUUCAUAAUGGAGGAGCCUUCCACUGCACACUCACAAACACAAACACAAACACCUAGCAUCGAGGCCCGUGUGUGACCUACUUUACAUACAGCACUGGGUGCUCCAUCCUCUCAGACAGUAACAAAAUUGCCAAGGAAGGGAAGAGGUUCAACUGGCAAUGCAAGGUAUGAUGCCAAAACUACAGAUCAGCCCCCUGGGUAUCUGAGAGCGAGCAGCAGACUGAGCUUUCUCUGAGCUGAAAGAGGGCGAUGUUUCUGGAGCAGAGAGAGGGGCUGAGCGGAGGAAACCCUCUCAGACAUGCCCGUGAAUCCACUCAUACUGUAUUCAUGCUCACUGAUGCACAAAGAAGAAGUUAGGUCACACUCAGGGCAUGCCACCCUCCCCCCUUCCCUUCCCCAUACCUCUCUCUGUCUCUCACACACACAGACCCCAGGCCAUCCACCCAACUUGCACGCAAUGCUCACUGGGGACUCCUGCUGUGCAUCUUUUAGGUCACAUCCAGAAGACUCUCGGAUCAGAACCAUGUUAUAAAGGCUAGACCACUGUGACUUGGUUCCAGUGUGAAUUAUCAUGCCAAGAACAUGUCUGGGUUAGGGUCCUCUUACAGAGCUUCCUCUGGAGUUGCUUCAUUCCCUCUCCAUGAGCAGGCAUGUGGCAGUGAUGCAAAUGGCUCCAUUUGGGUGAAGGUCGCACAUCAUUAUGAGCUAACUGGGAAGUUGUGCAUAUUGAGGUUAGCUGCCAGAAGAAGCAUACACAAUUGAGACUGAGGUGCUGUGUAAUACUGCAGGUCAAUAUUCUUCAUCUAUUGUAUUUCUGUUUCUAAUUCUAUUUACAAUUCUAAGGCCAGAAGCUCACUUCCUCACAAGUGUGUAAAAUAAAUUCUAAAGCUGUGGCGGCAACCCAAUUUUAAAAAAAAACAUUUUUUAAAGAUCA